GGGGGGUGUUUGUUUGAAUGGUGAUCACGUGACGGGGCGGUGACGUCACCCGCCCUGCCAGGCCAGGCGCCGCCGAGCCAGAGGGGGAGACGUCAUCAGCCUCGGAGCUGGGUCCGCUCGCCGCGCGCUGGCUCGCGGCCCGGCCCCCGCCCUGCUGUCCGGCCUGCUCUUGGCGCGUCCCCAGGGACCGGACCCGCGCCGCGCUCCAGGCCCAGCGGGGAGGAGGAGGGCUCGCUGCCAGCUGAGGCUGACCUCCGGGAUGCGAGCGGCCGGGAGAACGGGCGACGUGCCACCUGCCUUGGCCUCGCCGCUCCUCCCUCUCUCCCUCCCCGAGUCCCCUUCCCCGUGCCCCUCGGCCGCCGACCUGAACCGAAAGGGGCUUCCUGUGCUUUUGCAUACUCUUGUGCCCCUUUUCCUCAUUUCCUCAUCACUAACAGGCGGGGAAACUGAGGUUCCCCAGGCGAAGCGACUGACUUGCCCAGAACCACACUACUGGGGUGGGGGCAGCAAAUAGGCGCCUAAGAUGAAGUUUAGAGAAAAAUGAACAACUCUGCCGAUAGAAAAGUCGUCCCUACCAAGACCGACUCGAGCGAGUUGGGGCGGAGAGGUUCAGGGCAAUGCUUUCCUGUUUCCCAGACUUUUCUUUAAGGUGGCUUUAAAAUAUCUACAUUUGCCAUGAAAGUGUGAGCAAGCAAACUCCCACCGGGAAAUAAUGCUAUUCCUAGUCUUGUGGCCCCCGGAAGACUUGGAGCCAAGGGAGGCAGGUCAGGGGGCUGAAAUCCCGGUGAGGGGUCGCAAGGCCCCGCAGUGGAUUCCAGGGUUUGGCGUUUGGAGGGGUGAGGGGCGACCCGCAGCGCGACUCGACGGCGCCCCCCAGGGGCCGCCCGACACGUUUCUGUCACCUUGGCUCCAGACUGAGCUUCUCCAUCCCUUUCUUUAUUAUACAAAUAGGCAGUAUACACAGUGAGCGCCCACUAAGCGCUGGGCUGGGGGCCUCCAACCCGGAACAGAAGCCGGCCACAACCCUCGCUCCCUGUCGUCGCGGCCGUUAUAGGCCGAAAGCAAAAUCCAAUCCCGGGCCAUUGUGGGCGGAUUGCCAGGACCUGGAUCGCAACACUUGGGAAGACCCCCGCCCCGCCCAGCGAUCUCCGUGCCCUGAGUCCCAGUGACGGCCCCCUGGACAGCGGAGCCUGCUGCAGCGACGCGACGCGCUGGUACAGAUCUCAAAGCAAGGCUUGUUGGACAAAUAAAUGAAGAUGAGCCCAAGAGCCCAGGAGAGGGACCGGGAACAGCAGGGCCUCCGUGACUCACACAAGCUUCAUCCCUGAACCAAGGACGCAGCCUGCCAACAAUGGCCCCAAGCCACACCCCGCCACAGGGGGAACUGAUGCUGCGGUGAGAAGUGACAGCUUUCUGUUGACUCUUUUUUUUUUCAAGCAGAAUAUGAAUUGAGACAUACUUUCAUUUUCAUAAUCAGAACCUAACACUUAGUAACCAAUGUUGGUGGAAGCAAAUGAGAUCACAGUUUGUCUGUUCCAAACUCAUCUCUGGGAAAAGGAGGAGGAAAAAUUAUUGGCACUAUGUUCAGAAUCAUAGCUGAAGAUGCAGAAAUUGUUCAUCCCAAUUUUGCCUUUGUAAGUAAUGUGGGGGCAGUUCUUAUUAGUAAUUGCCAAUCUCUACUGAGACACAGUAUUUUGCUAGGCGCUUUAUAUUCAUUUCCUGGUAUGAUCAUGACAUUAACCCUGUGAAAUGCGUACCCUUACUAUCUCCAUGUGAAGAAAUGAGGGAACUGAGGACCAGAGAGGUGAACUGACUUGUCCAAAGACACACAGUAAGGGCUGUGACUCUCCGCUUUCUAAGAUUUUUGUUCUUAUCGCUCCACAGCACAUAGCAGGCGUAGUAUGAAGGCAGCAUGCUGCACAAUUUCGCUGUUUGUUUCUUGGAAUAAUAAUUUAUAGGGGACUGCUUCUAGAUUCCAAAGGAAAGAGAAAGGAAAUAUGCCCCAAACUCAGGCUUUCAGCCUGGCCCUGCCUGACUCACUGAGCUGCAUUGGACAAAUGAUUCAUUCACUGGCCUUGACCUCAGUGGGUUUGGCCACCCAUUGAGAGUGAAGUCACACCUCCAGCACUGCGAUGCAUUUAUUGAUCCACUCACCUAGCUUCAUGGCAGGCAAGAAACAGGCCUGUGUGAGCCUGCCCAGGAUCAGGGACAGGAGAGCACACAGGUGUUUCUGGAUAUCCUCAAGCUGUAGCUGGGCUGCUCGAUUCUUCCCUAGGAGAUCCUCCGGGGGCCUGAAUUAGUUUGCUAGGGCUUCCGUAACAAAGCGCCACAGACUGAGCGGCUUAAAUAAAAAUGUGUCAUCUCAUGGUUCUGGAGGCUGGAAGUCUGAGAUCAAGGUGCUGGGGAUUAGGACUUGAACAUAUGUUUUUUGGGGGCACACUUCAACCCUCCGGAGGGCCUGUGCCCCAAAGAGAGCCUCCUUCUGUGUGCAGUGAAGGUGUGAGUUCUAAACAUGAGAAAAAAACACCCCUUGUUCUUGGAUAGGGUGACUCGAUACCACAAGCAGGUCCAACUGGCCCAGGUAAAUAUAUUCGUUUAACAUGAUCGUCACCAAAAUAUUGAGGGUAGGUGUUUUUUUCUGGAGUUAAACAAGUUGAUUCUGGAGUUGAUAUGAAAUAAUAAACAAGCAAAAAUAGCCAGAAUUGUUUUUUUUAAAAAAGGGCAAUGGGGUGGAGGUAAGCCCUACCAGACAUUAAAACACAUCAUAAAGCUUCUGUAAUUGGCAGGGCACAGUGGCUCAUGCCUGUAACCCCAGCACUUUGAGAGGCUGUGAUGGGAGGAUUGCUUGAGCCCAGGAGUUUCAGACCAGCCUGAGCAACAUAGCGAGACUCCAUCUCUACAAAAAUAAAAAAUUAAAAGUUAGCUAAGUGUGGUGGUGUGCACUCGUAAUCUCAGCUAUUCCAGAAGUUGAGGUGGAAGGCUUGCUUAAGCCAAGGAAUCUGAGGCUGCAUUGAGCCAUGAUCACACCACUGCACUCCAGCCUGGGGGAUGGAGUGAGA
rnacentral:lncRNA from 10 species